CCAAAAAAAAUACCAUAUAUACAUACCCACAUACACACAAAAGAGAUGAACAGUAACAACAACAAGAAAAAAAAUCAGCAUUUUCUCUCUCUACACUCUACUCUCUCUUUUCCUCUCUUAAGAAAUUAAAUUUCCACCACCACUUCGCCGCCGGCCGCCGACGCCCAACAGAACCACCGCCAGAUCCGACCACGGUUCGCUCCUCUCUCGCACCGACGAGCCUCAUCGGACGUGAUUACCCGCAGCCAUCGAUCAACAACCAGCAGCACGCCGUUCGCUGGCCAGGGACCCGAACCGACCGCCGCCUUCUCUCUUGGCUGUGAUCUCUCUUCCUCUCCGGCGAACUAGCUCCGGCACCGCUCCGUUCUCCGCCUUCCAGAUCUGUCUCAUCACUGUCUAGAUCUGCCGCCGCCGUCCUUCCCUCCCUCCGGUGACAACAGCCACCGUUGACAAUGACCCGCUACCGCCUCCUCCGUCAACACCACCACCACCACCCCACCACAGCUCACCCGUCCGGCGAACCGGUGCCGCCACCGAAGAACGGGCGCCGCCACCGUCUCUCUGUCACUAGAGCUCCCCAGAGCUCGAUCUGCGUUGUGUUUUGGUUUCCUGCUGUUUGUUGGUUGAUCUUGUUUUCAUCUAUUUCUUGGCUCGUCGUCGAUAGUGGAUUUCGAGUCGUCUUUAUCGAAUCGCGUCGUCGUUCUUGUUUGGGUUUCGUAUAGUAAAGUUUUUCUUCACUGGUUUUGGAGCUGUCCGGUUAUUAUUUUAAUACUGAGUUUGGUUUGCUCGUUGCGAAGUUCUCCGGUCGAGUAUUUUGGUCUUCGAAUUUCUUUAUUAUCAACAAGGAUCAAUUUCAUCGAGAACUCUCCCUUUGCAAUAAUGGAAAUUUAAUCGCCCCAUGCCUCUCGAAUGCUGAACAAUCGGCCUCUUCACUGAAAUGGAGCAAAUAUCAAUACCUUUUUCCCACACACAAGGAUAUGCACCUCAUACAUUGAAAAGUUCAAGUGAUGAAUACUACCAAUAUAGGUCGUCUCCGUACAUUCACCUAGAGUAACGAAGCAAUGGGAUGACUCAAAGAGGAUGAAGUCAACAAAAGUUCUCACAAGUAAUGUUUUGAUGAGGAUAAUUGCAUAGAUUGAGUUACACAUUAUUAACACCGUCAUUUUUUCUCUUUUCUUUAAUAUGGAGUCUUAACUUAUUAGUUUGUUUAUUAAUUAUAUCUUCACUAAUUUUCCUAUUUGCUUUAAUCUUUUAGUAAAAAAAUUUCUUUUGAAA